rnacentral:rRNA from 1 species
CGAAGGGGGCGUAGCGUUGCUCGGAAUUACUGGGCGUAAAGGGCGCGUAGGCGGCUUGGUUUAGUCAGGCGUGAAAUUCCCGGGCUUAACCUGGGGACUGCGCUUGAUACUGCUGGGCUUGAAGGGUGGAAGAGGGUCGUGGAAUUCCCAGUGUAGAGGUGAAAUUCGUAGAUAUUGGGGAAGAACACCGGUGGCGAAGGCGGCGACCUGGUCCAUUACUGACGCUGAGGCGCGACAGCGUGGGGGAGCAAACAGGAUU